GGAAACCUGAUCCCGGUGCCUUCGUCAACCAGGGCUGCACGGGAUAAUCAAAGCCUGCUGAAAGGCCACCUGAGAAGACUUUGGCAGCAAUCCCGGUGGUGGCAGAAGCCGGUGCCACAUUGGGCACACAGUAGACAGGAUCUGCAGGACUUUGGCUAAGAUGUCCCUUGUACCUGUGACCAAAAUAAGCCAGCGGUGUUCCCGUUAUCUAUAACAGCACUGUCAUCAAGAACAAGAUAUAGAACUCUCAGCUUCUCCAGCACCCUGCCUAACUGGAUGCAACUACACUUCCUGCCUUGAUGAUAAUGGACUGAGCCUCUGAACCUGUAAGCCAGCCCCAACUAAAUGUCAUUUACAAGAGUUGCCUUGGUCACGGUGUCUCUUCACAGCAAUGAAACCCUAAGACAGAUGGACAGAUAAAAUAGAUACAGAUAAAUAGAUGAUAAUAAAUUUGAACUUUUACAAAGAA